rnacentral:rRNA from 1 species
GAUGAACGCUAGCUACAGGCUUAACACAUGCAAGUCGAGGGGAAACGACAUCGAAAGCUUGCUUUUGGUGGGCGUCGACCGGCGCACGGGUGAGUAACGCGUAUCCAACUUGCCCACCACUUGGGGAUAACCUUGCGAAAGUAAGACUAAUACCCAAUGAUAUCCCACGAAGGCAUCCGAAUGGGAUUAAAGAUUUAUCGGUGAUGGAUGGGGAUGCGUCUGAUUAGCUUGUUGGCGGGGUAACGGCCCACCAAGGCAACGAUCAGUAGGGGUUCUGAGAGGAAGGUCCCCCCACAUUGGAACUGAGAUACGGUCCAAACUCCUACGGGAGGCAGCAGUGAGGAAUAUUGGUCAAUGGGCGGUAGCCUGAACCAGCCAAGUCGCGUGAGGGAUGACGGCCCUACGGGUUGUAAACCUCUUUUACAAGGGAAUAAAGUGGGUCUCGUGAGACUUUUUGCAUGUACCUUAUGAAUAAGGACCGGCUAAUUCCGUG